UGAUCGGUGCACCGAGAUUAACAUGGAACGAGUGGCGGACGGGUGAGUAACACGUGGGUAACCUGCCCUUAAGUGGGGGAUAACAUUUGGAAAUGCUAAUACCGCAUAGAUCCAAGAACCGCAUGGUUCUUGGCUGAAAGAUGGCGUAAGCUAUCGCUUUUGGAUGGACCCGCGGCGUAUUAGCUAGGUGAGGUAAUGGCUCACCAAGGCGAUGAUACGUAGCCGAACUGAGAGGUUGAUCGGCCACAUUGGGACUGAGACACGGCAACUCCUACGGGAGGCAGCAGUAGGGAAUCUUCCACAAUGGACGCAAGUUGGAGCAACGCCGCGUGAGUGAAGAAGGCUUUCGGGUCGUAAAACUCUGUUGUUGGAGAAGAAUGGUCGGCAGAGUAACUGUUGCCGGCGUUCCAACCAGAAAGCCACGGCUAACUACGUGCCAGCAGCCGCGGUAAUACGUAGGUGGCAAGCGUUAUCCGGAUUUAUUGGGCGUAAAGCAGGCGGUUUUUUAAGUCUGAUGUGAAAGCCCUCGGCUUAACCGAGGAAGCGCAUCGGAAACUGGGAAACUUGAGUGCAGAAGAGAGUGGAACUCCAUGUGUAGCGGUGAAAUGCGUAGAUAUAUGGAAGAACACCAGUGGCGAAGGCGGCUGUCUGCUGACGCUGAGGCUCGAAAGCAUGGGUAGCGAACAGGAUUAGAUACCCUGGUCCAUGCCGUAAACGAUGAAUGCUAGGUGUUGGAGGGUUUCCGCCCUUCAGUGCCGCAGCCAUUAAGCAUUCCGCCUGGGGAGUACGACCGCAAGGUUGAAACUCAAAGGAAUUGACGGGGGCCCAGCGGUGGAGCAUGUGGUUUAAUUCGAAGCAACGCGAAGAACCUUACCAGGUCUUGACAUCUUUUGAUCACCUGAGAGAUCCCCUUCGGGGGCAAAAUGACAGGUGGUGUUGUCGUCAGCUCGUGUCGUGAGAUGUUGGGUUAAGUCCCGCAACGAGCGCAACCCUUAUGACUAGUUGCCAGCAUUUAGUUGGGGUAAGACUGCCGGUGACAAACCGGAGGAAGGUGGGGAUGACGUCAAAUCAUCAUGCCCCUUAUGACCUGGCGUGCUACAAUGGAUGGUACAACGAGUUGCGAGACCGCGAGGUCAAGCUAAUCUCUUAAAGCCAGUUCGGACUGUAGGCUGCAACUCGCCUACACGAAGUCGGAAUCGCUAGUAAUCGCGGAUCCGCGGUGAAUACGUUCCCGGGCCUUGUACACACCGCCCGUCACACCAUGAGAGUUU
rnacentral:rRNA from 1 species